rnacentral:lncRNA from 12 species
UUUUUGUUUGGAUUUUCCUUGAGUUGGUAAGGAACCUUUUUGUAUAUUUAGGGUAGUUUUGUGUUUCUCUGUGGACUGUUAAUAUUUUACUAUGGGUGGUACUGAAAUUAUUUCUAAAGCUUCCUCUGUUUUAGUAAGACUACCAUGAGUUGGAAGUAUUUUUUUCUAUUUAUCAUUGCUUUUCUGACUUUAUGAGGUUUUGUUUUAAUACGGUGAAUUUUAUCUGUUUAUAUGUAUCCUGUUUGAUGGGUUUUGAGUGAAAGGUAGAAAGGUUUUUCCUACUGUACAGUUACAACGGAAUCAGCCCAUGCUUUCUUUUAAUAGUUAUAUGAUUCUCUUCAUUGCACAUUUAAUUCUUGGAUCCAUGUAGAGUUUAUCCUGGCUUAUUGUGUGUAGAACCAAGAACUUUUUUUUUUUUAAGAUUUUGUUUAUUUAUUUAUGAGAGACACAGAGAGAAGCAAAGACACAUAGGCAGAGGGAGAAGAAGCAGGCUCCAUGCAGGGAGCCCGACGUGGGAUUCGAUCCUGGGACCCCAGGAUCACACCCUGAGCCAAAGGCAGACGCUGAAACGGCUGAGCCACCCAGGCGUCCCCCAAGAACCUUUUCUAGCUACUUCAUCCAGCUUAAGGGCUCAGGAGUAGGCCAUUGUGGAGGAAGUGACAGGAGCCCUGUUAUGUAAGAAGACAGGGAGGUAGAUUGCCCAUGCUCACCUCCGGGAGCCUCAGUCACUCUACCACAGAGUGCCCCAGGAGAGACAGAAUGAAAGGAAAGGAAGCAGUGAAAAUGAAGAGGCCAGUGCUGAUGUUCUGGCCCACAGUUUUAGAAGAAAGCCGAAGAAUGUGGUCUACGGAGCAUGCUGCGCUUGCCAGGGGUGUGGACGCAGAGUUCAAGCACAGACAAAGGGCAGGCAGUGAUUUCAUACUUCUGAUAGGUAAGUUAGCUCAGUUGUACUCGGAUUCUGUGCUACCCUCUUCUGUCCAUAGGCUCCUUUUUCAAAGUAGGCCUCUCCCUGAGCUUCCUCUGUAUAUAUCUGGUUAGCACUGUGGCCGUGUAUGCUCGGUCUCCCUAAUGGUUCAUCAUGAUGAUCAUGAGAGCUCCGCCUCGGGGAUUGGAAAUAGUAUGAUCCCUUCUGGUAAUUUCAAACUCAAAGCCCAGAAAAGGCCAUGAUUUGACUAGAGUUGAUUUCAUGCGUCUGAUAGGUGUGCAAUGUAAGUUGCACCUUGUGUUUUAUCCCGUGAUAUUUACAUGCAUGACUUUCUGCAAUGUUUUAAUCCAGUUUAUACUGGUGCCGUGGAGGUUUUCUAGAAAUCACGUGUACAUUAGACUUCCAGUAAUAGUAUAGCUAGAUUUUCAGUGCUCAAGACUGAGCAAAGAAAGGCAGUAUUAUUUCAGUAACUUGAGACCUUUUAAAGCCGUCAGAGUAGCCUGCUCGUUUGAUUAACCUGAGAACUAGGAAAGAUUUGAGGUGAUCCUGUUGGUCUCCCUAGACUGCUGAGGAACAGAACUUGUUACUGUAUGUUGGAUCUAAAGGAUAAUGCUGAAACUUCCCUUGUGAAAUGUAGUCUGCUAGAGGGCCUUCUACUUAGCCGUUUUGUUUAUACAUAAUCAGAAUCUCUGUUGGGGAGGAUCAAGCAUGAAGUUGCUUGUCAUUUCUUUCUAAGACGAAAACUACACUUGUCAAAUGCCAGUUCUACGUUAUUCUUUUGGUCUGUGGCACAGGGCAGGCUUAGAAUAAUAGUGAAAGACGAAUAGCUUAUUUUGAUGAUGUAUUCUUUUGUGAUUUAAAAAAAAUAAGAUUUUAUUAAUUCGGGGCACCUGGGUGGCUCAGUGAUUGAGCCCCUGCCUUUGGCUCAGGUCCCACAUCAGGCCUGCCUCUCCCUCUGCCUCUCUCUUUUAUUUAUUUAUUUGAGAGAAAGGGAAAGCAUGAGUAGGGGGAGAAGAAUAGGGAGAAAUAGACUCCCCACCGAGUGAGGAACCUGAUCCAGGGGGAUCAAGAUUAUUCAUUUUUCUGUGUUGAGUUGUAUAAGUUCUUUAUAUAUUUUGGAUAUAAAGCCUUUAUUGGCUAUUUUAUUUAUAAAUGUCUUCUCUCACUCAGUAGGUUGCUUUUUUGUUUUGUUGAUGGGUUCUUUUACUGCGCAAUAGCUUUUUAUUUUGAUGUAGCAGUGCUAAUCAUGAGAGAAAUGCAAAUCAAAACUGCAAUGAGAUAUGGCCUCAUGCCUAUCAGAAUGACUAAAGAGACAACAAAUAACAAGUGUUGGCAAGGGUGUAGAGAAAAGGGACCCCUUGUACUGUUGGUUGGAUCAUAAAUUGAUAGCAAAAACUAUGGAAAACAGUAUAGAGGUUCCUCAAAAACUUAAAAAAUAGAAAUACCAUAUGAUCCAAUCACUCCACUACUGAGUAUUUACCCCCAAAAAUGGAAACCCUAAUUCAAAAAAGAUAUAUGGGGAUCCCUGGGUGGCUCAGUGGUUUAGUGCCUCCUUCGGCCCAGGGCCUGAUCCUGGAGACCCGGGAUCGAGUCCCACAUCGGGCUCCCUGCAUGGAGCCUGCUUCUCCCUCUGCCUGUGUCUCUGCUUCUCUCUCUCUCUCUCUCUCUGUGUGUGUGUGUGUGUCUCUCAUGAAUAAAUAAAUAAAAUCUUAAAAAAAAAAAAGAUAC